rnacentral:rRNA from 1 species
GUAGUCUCGCACAGAUGCAUAUCAAUAAGCGGAGGAAAAGUAACUAACAAGGAUUUCCCUAGUAACGGCGAGUGAAGCGGGAAGAGCUCAAAUUUGAAAUCUUAAAGGGUUUCCCUUUACGAAUUGUAGUUUAAAGAAGUGUUUUCUGUUGAGGUUUUGGUAAAAGUUCUUUGGAAUAUGGACAUCAUAGAGGGUGAGAAUCCCGUAUUUGACCUUUACUUUCAACUUCGUGAUACACUUUCAAAGAGUCGGAUUGUUUGGGAAUGCAGUCCAAAAUGGGUGGUAAAUUUCAUCUAAAGCUAAAUAUUGGCGAGAGACCGAUAGCGAACAAGUACCGUGAGGGAAAGAUGAAAAGAACUUUGAAAAGAGAGUUAAACAGUACGUGAAAUUGUCAAAAGGGAAGCGUUUGACACCAGUGUUGUUUUUCUGAAAAUCAAUUAAAGAACUGUUUAUGCUAAGUUGUUUAGACUUUAUCAGCUAUCUGCUUUAGUUUUGAGCUUUUCUUUAAUGCACUUUUCAGUUAACAAGUCAACAUCAAUUUCUUUUGCUGUAAAAAAGCUUGAGGAAGGUGGCUUGAGAUUCGUCUUAAGUGUUUAUAGCCUCUUGCCUAUGCAGUCGGAGAGAUUGAGGUCUGCAGCGUAGGAUCCUUCGGGGCUAAAUGCAUUUGUGCUAAGUUAUAGCAUUUUAUAGACAACUUGUUGACUAUGAUUUGUCUUGUAGCUUACUCGCUUAUGUUAUUUUACCUACGCUUAGGAUGUUGAUAUCGCGCUCUCACUG